UCUUCAACUUGGCUGCGCCUCGCAGAGUCACACUUUUGGGCACGAGCGCGCGCGCGCACACGCACACGCUCCUCGCGUCUUCCUCGCAUCAUCCUCGCCUCGUCUUCUUCACUCGUCUUUCUCUCUCUCAACUUGUGGGAAGAAGAGUUGAGUCGCUUUCGGCGUCGACGGAGAAAAAAGGAGAGAUACUGUAUAGAAGGAAAGAACCCAAGAGAAAAAGAGAAGGAGAGAGAGAGAGCGAGAAAAAAGGAUAGAAAGAGAGAUAGAGAGAUAGAAGAAUAGGUGCGGAAAAACAAAGCACGGAGCCGCGUCUAUCCGCUGCAGAGGAUGCGGAGAGGGGGACGCUCUGGCCAGGGUUGGAUCGGGAUGUUCGGCACGGUGAUGAUGGUGCUGAUGGUGGUGCUGAUGCUGCCGGUCAGGAGCGAGAUAAGUUGCCGAUCGUGCCAGGUGGCGGGAGGCGAGUGGCGGCCGAGCGAUCAGCGGCUGGUGCUGCUGAAGCUGAAGACGGGGGACGCCCGGGACUCUGCUGUGCCGCUCCAGGCAACAGGGUCCCGGGGCGAAGUUGCGCAGGAGGACCGACUCGACGGACAGACCUUGGCCGGGGAGGAGCAUCCUCAGAGCGGCAGAGGGAGCGAGGAGGAGCCGGUGGAAGUGGCGGCGGCUUCGCGGAGAAAACGAGAAGUACUGCGAGAAGUACGGAGAAGCUCCACGGACCGCUUGAACGUUUUUGAUCGCCAACUGGGUUCGAGUUUGAGUUCGAGUCGUGGUGGGAAAGUUCACGACGGCCAGAUUGCCGACGCGCGUCUUAAGUAUCGUGGACGCAGGAGCACCGGCAGCGGCGGUGGCAGCAGCCGGGAACGGGCUGAGCUCAGGUGGAAUAAGGAGGAGAGGAGGACCUCCAGCUCCAGGCAAGAGGAGCUGAAACUCACCAGCUCCACCUUCGCCCUGACCGGAGACUCCGCGCACAACCAAGCCAUGGUGCACUGGUCCGGACAGAACAGCAGCGUAAGUUUCCUCCGAUACUUUUUUAUUGUGUGUGUGUGUUUAUCACUUUUUAAAACG
rnacentral:lncRNA from 1 species